CUAUUCUAGAGAUAGAAGUUACUUACGGUACAUCGGUGACAGGUGGUGCAUGGUUGUCGUCAGCUCGUGUCGUGAGAUGUUGGGUUAAGUCCCGCAACGAGCGCAACCCCUACGUUUACGUUGCUAACGCGUGAAGGCGAGCACUCUAGACGAACUGCCGUUGACAAAACGGAGGAAGUGGGAUGACGUCAAAUCAUCAUGCCCCUUAUGUUCUGGGCUACACACGUGCUACAAUGGCCGGUACAGACGGACGCAAAGCCGCGAGGUGGAGCAAAUCCUAAAAAGCCGGUCUCAGUUCGGAUUGCAGGCUGCAAUUCGCCUGCAUGAAGUCGGAAUCGCUAGUAAUCGCAGGUCAGCAUACUGCGGUGAAUACGUUCCCGGGCCUU
rnacentral:rRNA from 1 species